GAGUUUCAAGUGAUGGAUGGAUGUGGCAUAAAAACACCUACAAUAUCACAGAAACAGACUGAACAAGAGAGGAUUAGAGGCAACCAGCUGGCUGGAAUUUAAUUGGCAGAGUUCAGCCAAUAUGGAAAAAAAAAUUGGAAGGAAAACACGUUUUGUCUUUCCAGAAGAAAAUAAAGUUUAACAGCCUGCCUAUUUUUCAGUAAAAAGAAAACACACACCCUUUAAAGAAACAUUUUUAUGUGGUUAAGUGCUAAUGAGCACCAGAAGCAAUUUAUGGAGACCAGCCUAAAUAAACAUUAAGGAGUCAAGGCCACAAACUGACAGCAAGGAAAAUCAAUGGCUCCAGAAACCAGCUAGUAGGAUCAAUAAAAGAGAUUAGGC